rnacentral:rRNA from 1 species
GAUGAACGCUGGCGGCGUGCCUAAUACAUGCAAGUCGAGCGAACGGACGAGAAGCUUGCUUCUCUGAUGUUAGCGGCGGACGGGUGAGUAACACGUGGAUAACCUACCUAUAAGACUGGGAUAACUUCGGGAAACCGGAGCUAAUACCGGAUGAUAUUUUGAACCGCAUGGUUCAAAAGUGAAAGACGGUCUUGCUGUCACUUAUAGAUGGAUCCGCGCUGCAUUAGCUAGUUGGUAAGGUAACGGCUUACCAAGGCAACGAUGCAUAGCCGACCUGAGAGGGGGAUCGGCCACACUGGAACUGAGACACGGUCCAGACUCCUACGGGAGGCAGCAGUAGGGAAUCUUCCGCAAUGGGCGAAAGCCUGACGGAGCAACGCCGCGUGAGUGAUGAAGGUCGUCGGAUCGUAAAACUCUGUUAUUAGGGAAGAACAUAUGUGUAAGUAACUGUGCACAUCUUGACGGUACCUAAUCAGAAAGCCACGGCUAACUACGUG